rnacentral:rRNA from 1 species
AGUCAUACGCUCGUCUCAAAGAUUAAGCCAUGCAUGUGUAAGUAUAAAUAUUUAACUUUGAAACUGCGAAUGGCUCAUUAUAUCAGUUAUAGUUUAUUUGAUGAAAAGUACUACUUGGAUAACCGUAGUAAUUCUAGAGCCAAUACAUGAUAAAAUCCUCGACUUUGAAGAGGUGUAUUUAUUAGAAUGAAACCAAUAGACUUCGGUCUGUUUGUGAGUAAUAAUAACUAAUCGUAUCGCAUGCUUAGGUAGCGAUAUGUCUUUCAAGUUUCUGCCCUAUCAGCUUUGGAUGGUAGUGUAUUGGACUACCAUGGCAGUAACGGGUAACGAAGAAUUUGGGUUCGAUUUCGGAGAGGGAGCCUGAGAGAUGGCUACCACAUCCAAGGAAGGCAGCAGGCGCGUAAAUUACCCAAUCCUGACAUAGGGAGGUAGUGACAAUAAAUCACAAUGCGGAACUAUUAGUUUUGCAAUUGGAUUGAGAACAAUGUACAAAUGUUAUCGAUAAACAAUUGGAGGGCAAGUCUGGUGCCAGCAGCCGCGGUAAUUCCAGCUCCAAUAGCGUAUAUUAA